AUAGUACUCCCUCUGUCCGAAAAUACUUGUCAUAAGAAUUGAUGUAUCUAGAUAUAUUUUAGUUUUAGGUGCACUUUUUAAUCCAUUUGUGUGAAAAAUAAUUCCGGACGGAGAGAGUAUCGU
rnacentral:pre_miRNA from 1 species